rnacentral:rRNA from 1 species
UGGGAAUUCCUCGUGUUGCACCCUU